rnacentral:rRNA from 1 species
UACAGAGGUCUCAAGCGUUGUUCGGAUUCAUUGGGCGUAAAGGGUGCGUAGGCGGCGCGGUAAGUCGGGUGUGAAAUCUCGGAGCUUAACUCCGAAACUGCAUUCGAUACUGCCAUGCUUGAGUACGGAAGAGGGGAGUGGAAUUCCCAGUGUAGAGGUGAAAUUCGUAGAUAUUGGGAGGAACACCGGUGGCGAAGGCGGCUCCCUGGUCCGAUACUGACGCUCAUGUGCGAAAGCGUGGGGAGCAAACAGG